CCUACGGGAGGCAGCAGUGGGGAAUAUUGCACAAUGGGGGAAACCCUGAUGCAGCGACGCCGCGUGAGUGAAGAAGUAAUUCGUUAUGUAAAGCUUCAUCAGUAGGGAAGAAAAUGACGGUACGUGUGUAUGAAGCCCCGGCUAACUACGUGCCAGCAGCCGCGGUAAUACGUAGGGGGCAAGCGUUAUCCGGAUUUACUGGGGGUAAAGGGAGCGUAGAGGGCAGUGCAAGUCUGGAGUGAAAGGCGGGGGCUCAACCCCCGGACUGCUCUGGAAACUGUACGGCUGGAGUACAGGCGAGGUAGGUGGAAUUCGUAGUGUAGCGGUGAAAUGCGUAGAUAUUAGGAAGAACACCAGUGGCGAAGGCAGCUUACUAGACUGUAACUGACAUUGAGGCUCGAAAGCGUGGGGAGCAAACAGGAUUAGAUACCCUUGUAGUC
rnacentral:rRNA from 1 species